ACGAACGCUGGCGGCGUGCUUAACCCCUGCAAGUCGCACGGAAAGGCCCUGCUUUUGUGGGGUGCUCGAGUGGCGAACGGGUGAGUAACACGUGAGUAACCUGCCCUUGACUUUUGGAUAACUUCAGGAAACUGGGGCUAAUACCGGAUAGGAGCUCCUGCUUCAUGGUGGGGGUUGGAAAGUUUCGGCGGUUGGGGAUGGACUCGCGGCUUAUCAGCUUGUUGGUGGGGUAGUGGCUUACCAAGGCUUUGACGGGUAGCCGGCCUGAGAGGGUGACCGGCCACAUUGGGACUGAGAUACGGCCCAGACUCCUACGGGAGGCAGCAGUGGGGAAUAUUGCACAAUGGGCGGAAGCCUGAUGCAGCAACGCCGCGUGCGGGAUGACGGCCUUCGGGUUGUAAACCGCUUUCGCCUGUGACGAAGCGUGAGUGACGGUAAUGAGUAAAGAAGCACCGGCUAACUACGUG
rnacentral:rRNA from 1 species